GACGAACGCUGGCGGCGUGCCUAAUACAUGCAAGUUGAGCGCUGAAGGUUGGUACUUGUACCAACUGAAUGAGCAGCGAACGGGUGAGUAACGCGUGGGGAAUCUGCCUUUGAGCGGGGGACAACAUUUGGAAACGAAUGCUAAUACCGCAUAAAAACUUUAAACACAAGUUUUAAGUUUGAAAGAUGCAAUUGCAUCACUCAAAGAUGAUCCCGCGUUGUAUUAGCUAGUUGGUGAGGUAAAGGCUCACCAAGGCGAUGAUACAUAGCCGACCUGAGAGGGUGGUCGGCCACAUUGGGACUGAGACACGGCCCAAACUCCUACGGGAGGCAGCAGUAGGGAAUCUUCGGCAAUGGACGAAAGUCUGACCGAGCAACGCCGCGUGAGUGAAGAAGGUUUUCGGAUCGUAAAACUCUGUUGGUAGAGAAGAACGUUGGUGAGAGUGGAAAGCUCAUCAAGUGACGGUAACUACCCAGAAAGGGACGGCUAACUACGUG
rnacentral:rRNA from 1 species